rnacentral:hammerhead_ribozyme from 1 species
GCACCGAUGAGGAGUCCUAUACUAGGACGAAACGGCUGUCCGGUGC